rnacentral:rRNA from 1 species
GAAGAACGCUGGCGGCGUGCCUAAUACAUGCAAGUUGAGCGCUGAAGGUUGGUACUUGUACCAACUGGAUGAGCAGCGAACGGGUGAGUAACGCGUGGGGAAUCUGCCUUUGAGCGGGGGACAACAUUUGGAAACGAAUGCUAAUACCGCAUAAAAACUUUAAACACAAGUUUUAAGUUUGAAAGAUGCAAUUGCAUCACUCAAAGAUGAUCCCGCGUUGUAUUAGCUAGUUGGUGAGGUAAAGGCUCACCAAGGCGAUGAUACAUAGCCGACCUGAGAGGGUGAUCGGCCACAUUGGGACUGAGACACGGCCCAAACUCCUACGGGAGGCAGCAGUAGGGAAUCUUCGGCAAUGGACGAAAGUCUGACCGAGCAACGCCGCGUGAGUGAAGAAGGUUUUCGGAUCGUAAAACUCUGUUGGUAGAGAAGAACGUUGGUGAGAGUGGAAAGCUCAUCAAGUGACGGUAACUACCCAGAAAGGGACGGCUAACUACGUG